CACAAGCGGUGGAGCAUGUGUUUAAUUCGAAGCAACGCGAAGAACCUUACCAGGCCUUGACAUGCAGAGAACUUUCCAGAGAUGGAUUGGUGCCUUCGGGAACUCUGACACAGGUGCUGCAUGGCUGUCGUCAGCUCGUGUCGUGAGACGUUGGGUUAAGUCCCGUAACGAGCGCAACCCUUGUCCUUAGUUACCAGCACGUUAUGGUGGGCACUCUAAGGAGACUGCCGGUGACAAACCGGAGGAAGGUGGGGAUGACGUCAAGUCAUCAUGGCCCUUACGGCCUGGGCUACACACGUGCUACAAUGGUCGGUACAAAGGGUUGCCAAGCCGCGAGGUGGAGCUAAUCCCAUAAAACCGAUCGUAGUCCGGAUCGCAGUCUGCAACUCGACUGCGUGAAGUCGGAAUCGCUAGUAAUCGUGAAUCAGAAUGUCACGGUGAAUACGUUCCCGGGCCUU
rnacentral:rRNA from 1 species